UCCCAAUGUGUGGGUCCCAGGUUGGGGGUCCCAAUACGGGUCCCAGGUUGUGGGUCCCAAAGUGUGGGUCCCAGGUUGGGGGUCCCAAUGUGUGGGUCCCAAAGUGUGGGUCCCAGGUUGUGGGUCGCGAUGUGUGGGUCCCAAUGUGUGGGUCCCAAUGUGUGGGUCCCAGGUUGUGGGUCCCAAUGUGUGGGUCGCAAUGUUUGGGUCCCAAUGUGUGGGUCCCAAUGUCUAGGUCCCAAUGUGUGGGUCCCAGGUCGCGAUGUGUGGGUCGCAAUGUGUGGGUCCCAAUGUCUAGGUCCCAAUGUGUGGGUCCCAAUGUGUGCGUCCCAAUGUGUGGGUCCCAAUGUGUGGGUCCCAAUGUCUAGGUCCCAAUGUGUGGGUCCCAAUGUGUGGGUCCCAGGGUGGGGGUCCCAGGGUGGGGGUCCCAAUGUCUACGUCUCAAUGUGUGGGUCCCAGGUUGUGGGUCCCAAUACGGGUCCCAGGUUGGGGGUCCCAAUGUGUGGGUCCCGAUGUGUGGGUCCCAGGUUGUGGGUCCCAAUGUGUGGCUCCCAGGUUGUGGGUCCUGAUGUGUGGCUCCCAAUGUGUGGGUCCCAAUGUGUGGGUCCCAGGUUGUGGGUCAUGAUGUGUGGGUCCCAGGUUGUGGGUCACGAUGUGUGACUCCCAAUGUGUGGGUCCCAGGUUGGGGGUCCCAAUGUGUGGGUCCCAAUGUGUGGGUCCCAAUGUGUGGGUCCCAGGUUGUGGGUCGCAAUGUGUGGGUCCCAAUGUGUGGGUCUCAAUGUCUAGCUCCCAAUGUGUGGGUCCCAAUGUGUGGGUCCCAAUGUCUAGGUCCCAAUGUGUGGGUCCCAAUGUGUGGGUCCCAACGUCUAGGUCCCAAUGUGUGGGUCCCAGGUUGUGGGUCCCGAUGUGUGGCUCCCAAUGUGUGGGUCGCAAUGUGUGGGUCGCAAUGUGUGGGUCGCGACGUGUGGGUCGCGUCUCACCAGCGUCUCCCCGGACAGCACCUCGAGCAGGCGCAGCAGCAUGCGUCCGUCGCGCAGGUCGCAGUACAGAUCCGCCAUGCGGCACGUGCCCCGCGCCAGGUGCGAGUUCACCCACUUGGUGAACGUCUUCUUCUGCACCG
rnacentral:lncRNA from 1 species